AGCGAACGCUGGCGGCAGGCCUAACACAUGCAAGUCGAACGAACCCUUCGGGGUUAGUGGCGGACGGGUGAGUAGCACGUGGGAACGUGCCUUUAGGUUCGGAAUAACUCAGGGAAACUUGUGCUAAUACCCAAUGUGCCCUUCGGGGGAAAGAUUUAUCGCCUUUAGAGCGGCCCGCGUCUGAUUAGCUAGUUGGUGAGGUAAUGGCUCACCAAGGCUACGAUCAGUAGCUGGUCUGAGAGGAUGACCAGCCACAUUGGGACUGAGACACGGCCCAAACUCCUACGGGAGGCAGCAGUGGGGAAUCUUGCGCAACGGGCGAAAGCCUGACGCAGCCAUGCCGCGUGGAUGAUGAAGGUCUUAGGAUUGUAAAAUCCUUUCACCGGUGAAGAUAAUGACUGUAGCCGGAGAAGAAGCCCCGGCUAACUUCGUGCCAGCCGCCGCAGUAACAC
rnacentral:rRNA from 1 species